UGCUCCGCCUCUUCCUCCCAUCCGUCCAGAUCUGCGGCGCACGGUCUCUUGCGCUCGCUCGCAACCCUCAACCGUGGCUUGGGUUUCGGGCUGGGCAUCGCCUUCGUCGCCGGCGCGGCUCCGGUGGACUCCGGCGGCUCCUCUCCGUCUCCUUGCUCGCCCCCACACGCGGCUCCACUUCCCGCUGGCCAUGGGGCUGGCUGGCAGCAGCGCCUCCCUCCCUCCCUGCCGCCGCCGGUCCCGCCGCACGGAGCAGCGCCACCGACGGGUCCAUAGGCAGGUUGCAGGAAUAGCUUUAUAUUAGGAGCAGCUUCUCCACCACCACUCAGCGGUAGAGGAGGUGUGCUUGUUCCCCAACACAACAUAGCGACAGCCACGGUAUCCUCGGCACUCUCCCUCUAUCUACCCUCUUCUUUUCCUUACCGAAAAAUUGUUUUUUUACCUUUUAUAAUACUUGUGAUUUAGACCGAUUUGUGUUUUGGGGGGCAUCAAUUUGGUGCUUCCCCUGUCCAUGUGCUGCAGAGAAAAGGAGAAGAAGGGGAUGUAUGAGCAAGGACCAGAAGGACCAGAAGAAGAAGGGCAAGGGAGGUGGGGCGAUAUGCAUGUCCAGGGAGGUCAUCAGUGUUCCCUAUAUAUCAUUGAUUGCGAUCAAUUAAGAGGUGAAGACAUCAUGUUUGGCAAUAACUCUCGCUUAGACAAAGAUUCUUGGGUUUGGAGCUAGAUUAGUGAUGCCUCACCAAUCUGGAUGCUACCGCCGAGCCUGAGGAUUUAGGCCUUAUCAGACCACUCUGAUGCCAGUUUAGAUGUUUUUGAUUAUUUGCUCCUUAUCAGACCACUCAAGUGGGUUCAGCCUCAAGGUUGUUUGAUGCGUUCCUGCUCGUCGGUGGGACGGUGCAAGGCGCAACUCCGAUGCGGUUCCUUGCCGGUUGGUCGGUGUUCAGGCGCAACCCCGGCGCGCACUGAGUACUGCCUCGGCUACAACCUCCCUUCGUGAGGUCCAUCUUCCUCCCACUCCUCUGCUUUGGCUACUGUAUGGGACAUGGCCAUGGCUAUAUUGAUGUGGUGCUCGUCUGGUUGAUGCUCUAUGCCCUACUCAUACAUCGCUUCCUAUUUGAGCUCUGUAGUUGUGGAUCCAUGCCAUUUUAGGGUUUGUAGGCUGAUAACCCACAAGUAUAGGGAAUCGCAACAGUUUUCGAGGGUAGAGUAUUCAACCCAAAUUUAUUGAUUCGACACAAGGGGAGCCAAAGAAUAUUCUCAAGUAUUAGCAGUUGAGUUAUCAA